rnacentral:lncRNA from 1 species
UUUGUGAUAGCCAUUUAAUGAUAUAAUUGAUUAAAUUACAUACUCUAAAUUACAAAAGUUAUUUUAUUAAGAUCAAAUGAUAAAUUUUAUAUAGAAUUAUUUUACACAAAAUGCGUCAUAUUUAGAGGAUUGGAAAAUAUACAUGGGAUGGACAGGAUGGUCACUCUCACUCUCAAGCUCAGAUGAGCCAAGCCAACAAACAACUAGAGCAUACGGAG